rnacentral:lncRNA from 1 species
AAGAAAUAAGGUAGCAAUAGUGCAAACCCGGCUGCCGUUUCUUCAUUGGGAGCUUCAGCCAUCUUAUCAGUCACGAGGAUGACACCUCCAAAGCCUUCCUCCUCACAACGUGUAGCAUAAGCUUCUCCCAGAGAAGUCAAGGAAUCCAUUCUUGAGAGAGGGGGCAAAAAAAAAGGGAUCCUUCAGCAAAAUACAUAAUUACAAAACUCUAUCUACGAGGAUGAACUCCAGAAAUCUUAAAG